rnacentral:rRNA from 1 species
GGAUUAAUACCCGUAGUACCUAUUAGAGGCAUUUUUAAUAGGUUAUAGUUUUCGAACGGUAUAGGAUGGCUAUGCGUCUUAUUAGCUAGUAGGUAAGGUAACGGCUUACCUAGGCAACGAUAAGUAGGGGCCCUGAGAGGGGGAUCCCCCACACUGGUACUGAGMCACGGACCAGACUCUACGGGAGGCAGCAGUGAGGAAUAUUGGACAAUGGGCGGAAGCCUGAUCCAGCCAUGCCGCGUGCAGGAAGACGGCCCUAUGGGUUGUAAACUGCUUUUAUACGGGAAGAAUAAGGGAUACGUGUAUCCUGGUGACGGUACCGUAAGAAUAAGGACCGGCUAACUCCGUGCCAGCAGCCGCGGUAAUACGGAGGGUCCGAGCGUUAUCCGGAAUUAUUGGGUUUAAAGGGUCCGCAGGCGGGCAAUUAAGUCAGAGGUGAAAUGGUGCGGCUCAACCGUAGCACUGCCUUUGAUACUGGUUGUCUUGAGUCAUGGUGGAGUGGCCGGAAUAUGUAGUGUAGCGGUGAAAUGCAUAGAUAUUACAUAGAACACCGAUCGCGAAGGCAGGUCACUAACCAUGAACUGACGCUGAUGGACGAAAGCGUGGGGAGCGAACGGGAUUAGAUACCCCGGUAGUCCACGCCGUAAACGAUGGAUACUAGCUGUCCGCUACCUUGAGUAGUGGGCGGCCAAGCGAAAGUGAUAAGUAUCCCACCUG